AUUGAACGCUGGCGGCAGGCUUAACACAUGCAAGUCGAGCGAGCGGCGGACGGGUGAGUAAUGUCUGAGAAACUGCCUGAUGGAGGGGGAUAACUACUGGAAAGGGUAGCAAAUACCGCAUACCAUCAGAUGUGCCCAGAUUGGAUUAGCUAGUAGGUGGGGUAAUGGCUCACCGAGGCGACGAUCCCUAGCUGGUCUGAGAGGGUGACCAGCCACACUGGGACUGAGACACGGUCCAGCCUCCUACGGGAGGCAGCAGUGGGGAAUAUUGCACAAUGGGCGCAAGCCUGAUGCAGCCAUGCCGCGUGUAUGAAGAAGGCCUUCGGGUUGUAAAGGACUUUCAGCGGGGAGGCGUUACCCGCAGAAGAAGCACCGGCUAACUCCGUGCCAGCAGCCGCGGUAAUAC
rnacentral:rRNA from 1 species